AGGGAUUUAGGCAAAUACUUAAAUAUGUCUGUAAGGGCUUUGCUGCGUUUGAGACUACAGAUUCACAAAGGUGUCACCCCAGGGUUCGCACCUCCAUCUUGCCAAGAGGGCUUUGGUCCUGAGAUAUGAGUAUUAGCAACUGAGCCUGGUACUUUGCAGAAGAGAUCUGAUAGGAAUACUGCUGAAUGCUUGCAUAAAUGCACGUUCUGUAGGUGCUCUUGUGAAGAAUGAUAGAAUUUAUUCUUACUUAUUCAAAAUGUUAAAAGGAUUAUUUUGAAGAUGAGAAUGCAAGACAUCAAGAGAAGGAACCCCUGGUGACUAUGGCAAUAUUUCAGAAGAAAGGAGUGUGUUUAAAUGACAUCAGGCUUAAGGGGAGAAUCAAGCCCAGCUUUCCUGGGUCCAACCACAAGGUUAUCAUAUGUACGGUCCUUCAACAAAAGAGGCAGCCUGCUCAGACAGGUUUUAUCCUACCACAGGACGGCUCAGGAACUGCUUAGCCCUCACAGGAGAAAGUCCUGUGGCUGCAGCAAUCAUAACAGAGGAGACCACAGAAUGCUACCAGGAGCAGCAUUAUUUGUACCAGGAAAAAAAAGGAAAAAAAGAAGAAAACCUUCACUCACAUCCACCACCAGGAAACAUGCUGGUACGGUGAAGAUAUGAUUGGUGCGUAUGCAGCUACAGAGUCAGAACUUUACUUAUAGAAGAACUUAACUGGUGGAAAAUUAAGUGAUUUAGAUAAGGUAGAAAAUCUGUAACAAGUAUCUUGCCUAAAAUGUGGAAGCCAAUUUAGUGGCAGGUGGGUACUUGGGUAUCAUUAUGGAUCCAAAAAUACGUGACAGUAUUUUAUGGUAAAUGGCAGGUGGCUUUUUUGUUGUAAAGUGUGCACGCAAGAGAUAAGUACAAGGUACUUGUUUAUAAAGUCAGCAAUGGGCGUAAGUACUGGUUUUGUUAUGCAGUUUCAUCAUAUAGUUUACAUAAAAUUAUAAAAGAUUAUAACAUUUCAUUACAGAAAUGGUUAUGCUAAGCCAGUUCUUUGAUAAUAUUUGCAUUCUUCUAAGUGUCUGCAUGAUGACAGCAACAGUAAUGCAAAUAGUGUGCUCGGGUGUUUUUCUUUUUCUUUCUUUUUUUUUUUUUUUUUUUUUUUUUGGUAAAUAGGCUAGAACCAGCUGUCAUUUUUAAUAGUGUAGACGUACAGUGCUUUACAGAGCCAGGGUAGAUAAUUUCUAGGCAGAUUGUUUCUUAGUUAUUCUUAGAAGAAGCAUAUGUGCUGCAUAGCAAUGCCAGGAAAUCACUUGCAGCAAGUAUAACAGUAGCAAAAAAAUACCUGCUAUUAAUUGGCACUUAUAAAUUUGAACUAUCUGUACAUUUUAGCCAGUGAUAUUACAGGUAAAAAUUAAUUUCAAUAGGAUAGUAAGCUAGUACUAAAUUGUGUAGGUUUAAGUGCUAAAACAGUGUUUCUGCAAAAUGCCUUUAGCAGGAAAUUUUUUGACAUCAAAAAACUAUAUGAAAUUCCUUACAUUAAUGAUGAAAAUUUCAGUGAAGUGAUUCAAGGGAUACUUCAGAAUAUUUCAGAAUUCAAAAUAGCUUGUUUGCUUAGAGUUCAUUUAAUGGUACAGUUUUCAUUCCCUAUUCAACUGAUCCCACUCCAAAUUUUCAAAACGGAUCGCUAUCUCUCUCAGGUAACCACGGUAUGAAAGAAAAGUAUGUCUUCAAAAUUAGUAAGCAUACACAAGGUAGGCAUCUCAUGCUAGCCAGCAAAAAAACUGACUAUAAGGGAAGUACUUAUAAAUAUAAUGAGAGUUUGCCAGUUUUCUCCCCCAGUAAUUUCUACAAGCUAAGACAAUGCAACUCAACAAUGAGACAAGGAGAAAGAACACAAAAGCUGCUUUCCGCAAACUGUAAAUGAGAAACUACAAAUAAUCAAGGAGAUGCUCUCUCUCGCCUUUCUCUGUAUUGCUCCUGCCCAAAACAUGAUCCAGUUUCUUCUUAUAUUCUUCCUCCAGCAAUCUUAAGGAGUAUUUAUUUAUUUUCCUCAGCAAACACAACAAUCAAAGAAAACUUGCAGGUUGCACACAAGGACAUUGGAAUAUGCGGAACCAAACAAAAAUUUUUUAACAAACAAACUAUGUAUAGGUAUAAGUAUGUAUGUAUAUGUACAUGUACAUGUACAUGUUUAUAUAUUUGCAUAUGUAUAUGUGUAUAUAAAUAAAAAUAAUAAUAAAAGCA
ensembl:lncRNA